CAGACGGGCGGGAGGAAAGAAGGGAGGAAGGGAGGAGAGGAGAGGAAAGGACGCGAGGAUAGACGCAAACACGAGCUCGGAGGGGAGGCAGACGCGGAUGAAUAACGACGAGACGCUUGCGGCAUCCGCGCCGCGUUUGCUCUCCUGAUUUCUGACCAAACGAUUGGCAUGAAGACUCAUCGGCUCUUCAAGAGGAGCGGCGGCGUCCGGAGCAGAUGUUUCUUCAGUGUCCCGCCACAUCGGAUCGCUCCGGGAGAGCUCUAAGCGCCUGAAA